CAAGGCGACGAUCCCUAGCUGGUCUGAGAGGAUGACCAGCCACACUGGAACUGAGACACGGUCCAGACUCCUACGGGAGGCAGCAGUGGGGAAUAUUGCACAAUGGGCGCAAGCCUGAUGCAGCCAUGCCGCGUGUAUGAAGAAGGCCUUCGGGUUGUAAAGUACUUUCAGCGGGGAGGAAGGUGUUGUGGUUAAUAACCGCAGCAAUUGACGUUACCCGCAGAAGAAGCACCGGCUAACUCCGUGCCAGCAGCCGCGGUAAUACGGAGGGUGCAAGCGUUAAUCGGAAUUACUGGGCGUAAAGCGCACGCAGGCGGUCUGUCAAGUCGGAUGUGAAAUCCCCGGGCUCAACCUGGGAACUGCAUUCGAAACUGGCAGGCUUGAGUCUUGUAGAGGGGGGUAGAAUUCCAGGUGUAGCGGUGAAAUGCGUAGAGA
rnacentral:rRNA from 1 species